CGAGAAUCUUCCACAAUGGACGAAAGUCUGAUGGAGCGACGCCGCGUGGUUGAUGAAGUACUUAGGUAUGUAAAAACCUUUUAUGAGGGAAAAAGUUUAUUGAUUGUACCUCAUGAAUAAGGGGUUGCUAAACUCGUGCCAGCAGCAGCGGUAAUACGAGUGCCCCAAGCGUUAUCCGGAUUUAUUGGGCGUAAAGGGUGCGUAGGUGGCGAUAUUAGUCUUGUGUUAAACCCUUCAGCUUAACUGAAGAAUCGCAUAAGAAACGGUAUCGCUAGAGGAUGUGAGAGGUGUGUAGAACUCAUGGAGUAGGGGUAAAAUCCGUUGAUAUCAUGGGGAAUACCAAAAGCGAAGGCAGCACACUGGCACAUUCCUGACACUGAAGCACGAAAGCGUGGGUAGCGAAUG
rnacentral:rRNA from 1 species